CAGUAGCCGCGGGAAAACGGAGGGUGCAAGCGUUAAUCGGAAUUACUGGGCGUAAAGCGCACGCAGGCGGUCUGACAAGUCAGAUGUGAAAUCCCCGGGCUUAACCUGGGAACUGCAUUUGAAACUGUCAGGCUGGAGUCUUGUAGAGGGGGGUAGAAUUCCAGGUGUAGCGGUGAAAUGCGUAGAGAUCUGGAGGAAUACCGGUGGCGAAGGCGGCCCCCUGGACAAAGACUGACGCUCAGGUGCGAAAGCGUGGGGAGCAAACAGGAUUAGAUACCCCGGUAGUCCCUGUCUCUUAUAC
rnacentral:rRNA from 1 species